rnacentral:rRNA from 1 species
CAACAGGGAUUGCCCUAGUAACGGCGAGUGAAGCGGCAACAGCUCAAAUUUGAAAUCUGGCGUCUUCGGCGUCCGAGUUGUAAUUUGCAGAGGGCGCUUUGGCAUUGGCAGCGGUCCAAGUUCCUUGGAACAGGACGUCACAGAGGGUGAGAAUCCCGUACGUGGUCGCUAGCCUUUACCGUGUAAAGCCCCUUCGACGAGUCGAGUUGUUUGGGAAUGCAGCUCUAAAUGGGAGGUAAAUUUCUUCUAAAGCUAAAUACUGGCCAGAGACCGAUAGCGCACAAGUAGAGUGAUCGAAAGAUGAAAAGCACUUUGGAAAGAGAGUUAAAAAGCACGUGAAAUUGUUGAAAGGGAAGCGCUUGCAGCCAGACUUGCCUGUAGUUGCUCAUCCGGGUUUCUACCCGGUGCACUCUUCUAUAGGCAGGCCAGCAUCAGUUUGGGCGGUUGGAUAAAGGUCUCUGUCAUGUACCUCCUUUCGGGGAGAACUUAUAGGGGAGACGACAUGCAACCAGCCCGGACUGAGGUCCGCGCAUCUGCUAGGAUGCUGGCGUAAUGGCUGUAAGCGGCCCGUCUUGAAACACGGACCAAGGAGUCUAACAUCUAUGCGAGUGUUUGGGUGUCAAGCCCGAACGCGUAAUGAAAGUGAACGGAGGUGGGAACCUUUCGGGGUGCACCAUCGACCGAUCCUGAUGUCUUCGGAUGGAUUUGAGUAAGAGCAUAGCUGUUGGGACCCGAAAGAUGGUGAACUAUGCUUGAAUAGGGUGAAGCCAGAGGAAACUCUGGUGGAGGCUCGCAGCGGUUCUGACGUGCAAAUCGAUCGUCAAAUUUGGGCAUAGGGGCGAAAGA